CCUACGGGUGACAGCAGUGAGGAAUAUUGGUCAAUGGGCUUACGCCUGAACCAGCCAAGUCGCGUGAGGGAAGACGGUCCUAUGGAUUGUAAACCUCUUUUGUCGGGGAGCAAAAGACGCCACGCGUGGCGUUCCGAGAGUACCCGAAGAAAAAGCAUCGGCUAACUCCGUGCCAGCAGCCGCGGUAAUACGGAGGAUGCGAGCGUUAUCCGGAUUUAUUGGGGUAAAGGGGUGCGCAGGCGGAAGAUCAAGUCAGCGGUAAAAUUGAGAGGCUCAACCUCUUCGAGCCGUUGAAACUGGUUUUCUGGAGUGAGUGAGAAGUAUGCGGAAUGCGUGGUGUAGCGGUGAAAUGCAUAGAUAUCACGCAGAACUCCGAUUGCGAAGGCAGCAUACCGGCGCUCAACUGACGCUCAUGCACGAAAGUGUGGGUAUCGAACAGGAUUAGAUACCCCAGUAGUC
rnacentral:rRNA from 1 species